GAUGAACGCUGGCGGCGUGCCUAAUACAUGCAAGUCGAGCGAACAGACGAGGAGCUUGCUCCUCUGACGUUAGCGGCGGACGGGUGAGUAACACGUGGAUAACCUACCUAUAAGACUGGGAUAACUUCGGGAAACCGGAGCUAAUACCGGAUAACAUGUUGAACCGCAUGGUUCAACAGUGAAAGACGGUCUUGCUGUCACUUAUAGAUGGAUCCGCGCCGCAUUAGCUAGUUGGUAAGGUAACGGCUUACCAAGGCAACGAUGCGUAGCCGACCUGAGAGGGUGAUCGGCCACACUGGAACGGAGACACGGUCCAGACUCCUACGGGAGGCAGCAGUAGGGAAUCCUCCGCAAUGGGCGAAAGCCUGACGGAGCAACGCCGCGUGAGUGAAGAAGGUCUUCGGAUCGUAAAACUCUGUUAUUAGGGAAGAACAAAUGUGUAAGUAACUAUGCACGUCUUGACGGUACCUAAUCAGAAAGCCACGGCUAACUACGUG
rnacentral:rRNA from 1 species